rnacentral:rRNA from 1 species
UACAGAGGGGGCAAGCGUUGUUCGGAAUUACUGGGCGUAAAGGGCGCGUAGGCGGCCUUCUAAGUCGAACGUGAAAUCCCUGGGCUCAACCCAGGAACUGCGUCCGAUACUGGGAGGCUUGAAUCCGGGAGAGGGAUGUGGAAUUCCAGGUGUAGCGGUGAAAUGCGUAGAUAUCUGGAGGAACACCGGUGGCGAAGGCGGCUUGCUGGGCCAGUUCUGACGCUGAGGAGCGAAAGCGUGGGGAGCAAACAGG